rnacentral:rRNA from 1 species
CCCGCCUGCGUGAAGUUGGAAUUGCUAGUAAUCGCGGAUCAGCAUGCCGCGGUGAAUACGUUCCCGGGCCUUGUACACACCGCCCGUCACACCAUGGAAGUCGGUAAUGCCCGAAGUCAGUAGCCUAACCGCAAGGAGGGCGCUGCCGAAGGCAGGAUUGAUGACUGGGGUGAAGUCGUAACAAGGUAAC